CAGCCGCCGCGGGAAUACGAAGGGUGCAAGCGUUACUCGGAAUUACUGGGCGUAAAGCGUGCGUAGGUGGUGGUUUAAGUCCGUUGUGAAAGCCCUGGGCUCAACCUGGGAAUUGCAGUGGAUACUGGGUCACUAGAGUGUGGUAGAGGAUAGUGGAAUUUCCGGUGUAGCAGUGAAAUGCGUAGAGAUCGGAAGGAACAUCUGUGGCGAAGGCGACUACCUGGGCCAACACUGACACUGAGGCACGAAAGCGUGGGGAGCAAACAGGAUUAGAUACCCCCGUAGUCCCUGUCUCUUAUAC
rnacentral:rRNA from 1 species